AUCAAAAGAUUUAUGCAAACACAAAAUAAAAAUUACUUUUCACUUAUAAGCAAUAAACAGUCUUUUUAAGUUAAACCAAGCAACCAUGUGAUUCUAUCAUUAUGGUAGAUUAUUAAAUAAAAAACUAAAAGUAAAUAAAAUUGAUAAUAAUUAAUAUAUUAAACUAAAAUAUAGCAACUUAAUCUUUUAUCACGCAACACUUUAAUUCUCUCCAUACGUGGUGAACACAAAGUCAAAAACACUGCAUAUUCUAUUCAGAAGUACUGGUGAUGGGCAGGACAUGAUUGACAGACAAAACACAUGAAAAACUUUAAUGCGUAAGAUAUGAAAUUUUUUUGGCAAAUAACUGAUGAUGUUCCUAUAAAACCUUAACCAAUCCAAACAACUGAUGAAUAUAAGUUGAAGUAUUCAAAAAUGCCCCCUCUUCUUUGCUUGUUCCUUACCUUUCUCACCUUUUUGCUAUCAACACCAGUAGAAGCCUCAGCACGUACCAUCAGCUUAUGUGCAUGUUUGGCGAUGGAGUGCUUCUUUUUCUUGUAAGCCGGCUUCCACAUUUUUGACCUGUUUGUGUAAAAAGCAAGAAGUAUCUAUAAAAAGCUGAUUAUGUUGUUUCAAGACUUCUACUUCUUUGCCAAACAUUGCCAAACAGUUUAAUCAUUAGUCUUGAUUUACUUUUCAUUUCUAAUCCACUUCUUUAUUUUAAGGAAGAAACACUUUUUGUAAAUUUAGCAAACUGCCCAUAUAUUUUCAAAACCUAACUGCAAUUCCACCGUUCCACGUACCUGUGGUAACCUUGUAAUUCCCUAUCCCUUUGGCACACGUAAAGGUUGCUAUCUUGAAAGUUGGUGCAAUUCGUUGAUAUCUUGAAAGUCAGUACAAUUCGUUUCUCAUAACCUGUAACGGUACCGUGCCUUACGCCUUAGCUUUGUGCUUAAUUAAUAUAUCGCUUAUAACCAUCAUAUAGAUCGAGAGAUAUUAGAGAAAGUAUUUCAUAUCUUCGACUAUCAAAAUUUCCUAUGAAUAAUGCACGCAAUAAAUUUAUUGUCACCGAAUGUUCCACUGCUGGGCUAAUCAGUAGUUAUAAGGUCGAAAGCUACACGAAUGAAUGUGUUUCAAUAUGCGGGGGUGUCGAAGAUGCAGUAAAUGGCUCAUGCUCAGGCUAUGGGUGUUGCCAAACUUCCCUUCCAAAGGUGCCAGGGACUUGAAGGUGAAAUUAAUUGUUUUAAAUGAGACAGCUUUCGCUUGUAGCUCAAUUUUUGUGGUUGAAGGAGCAAUAUGUCAAAACCAACCUGAGGCAUAGUCUCGUGUGCUUGUCCACCUCGUUACAAAUCAGAUGGAAAAAAGGUUGUGUUAAAGUAAGUCAUGGCGGCCUAAUUGGACAUAGCAUGGCAAUAGGUUCAAACACGAGUUUGUUUGUUUGUUCAUAAGCAAUGGCACCCUUUCAGAGUUCAGACCAUAUUCAUAAAAAGGUUACCAGGCCAUAUCUUUCAUGCGAAUGUUGCCUUGGAAUAGCUGCAGAAACUGCAGGAGCAGCUGCUUCUCCCCCAAUUAUUCAUCGAGACAUAAAAAGCACUAACAUAUUGCUCGACGAAAAUUUGUUGCAGAAGUCGCAGAUUUUGGAGCGUCCGGAAUUGUGCCUCGAGAUCAUGCGGAAAUUGCAACUCUAGUGCAAGGGACAUUUUGGAUAUAUAGCGCCAGUUUGUUUCACAGGAGCAGCUUCUACUUCAGCCUUUUGCUUUUAUUAACCCGUUUGUGUAAAAAAGAUGAAGCACUUUUAAGAAGCUGAGAAUGCUAGCUUCUUUCUCAGAUCUUCUACUUUUUUUCUAAACACUUUAUUAACUUAUUUACCUCUCACUUCUAA